UACGGGGGGUGCAAGCGUUAUCCGGAUUCACUGGGUUUAAAGGGUGCGUAGGUGGGCUUGUAAGUCAGUGGUGAAAUCUCCGUGCUUAACAUGGAAACUGCCAUUGAUACUAUAGGUCUUGAAUUUUCCGGAGGUCAGCGGAAUAUGUCAUGUAGCGGUGAAAUGCUUAGAUAUGACAUAGAACACCGAUUGCGAAGGCAGCUGACUACAGGGAUAUUGACACUGAGGCACGAAAGCGUGGGGAUCAAACAGG
rnacentral:rRNA from 1 species